rfam:Salmo salar isolate Sally breed double haploid chromosome ssa03, whole genome shotgun sequence.
CAUUAUUAGGCCUAGAUAAGUCGCUCUGGAUAAGAGCGUCUGCUAAAUGACUUAAA